rnacentral:rRNA from 1 species
GGUGACUUGACUGCUGCUACGAUGCGAGUCGAACGCUGAAGCCUGGUGCUUGCACCGGGUGGAUGAGUGGCGAACGGGUGAGUAACACGUGAGUAACCUGCCCCUGACUUCGGGAUAAGCCCGGGAAACUGGGUCUAAUACCGGAUACGACUGCCGGACGCAUGUCUGGUGGUGGAAAGUUUUUUCGGUUGGGGAUGGGCUCGCGGCCUAUCAGUUUGUUGGUGAGGUAAUGGCUCACCAAGACGACGACGGGUAGCCGGCCUGAGAGGGCGACCGGCCACACUGGGACUGAGACACGGCCCAGACUCCUACGGGAGGCAGCAGUGGGGAAUAUUGCACAAUGGGGGAAACCCUGAUGCAGCGACGCAGCGUGCGGGAUGACGGCCUUCGGGUUGUAAACCGCUUUCAGCAGGGAAGAAGCGCAAGUGACGGUACCUGCAGAAGAAGUACCGGCUAACUACGUGCCAGCAGCCGCGGUAAUACGUAGGGUACGAGCGUUGUCCGGAAUUAUUGGGCGUAAAGAGCUCGUAGGUGGUUGGUCACGUCUGCUGUGGAAACGCAACGCUUAACGUUGCGCGUGCAGUGGGUACGGGCUGACUAGAGUGCAGUAGGGGAGUCUGGAAUUCCUGGUGUAGCGGUGAAAUGCGCAGAUAUCAGGAGGAACACCGGUGGCGAAGGCGGGACUCUGGGCUGUAACUGACACUGAGGAGCGAAAGCAUGGGGAGCGAACAGGAUUAGAUACCCUGGUAGUCCAUGCCGUAAACGUUGGGCACUAGGUGUGGGGGGCAUUCCACGUUCUCCGCGCCGUAGCUAACGCAUUAAGUGCCCCGCCUGGGGAAUACGGUCGCAAGGCUAAAACUCAAAGGAAUUGACGGGGGCCCGCACAAGCGGCGGAGCAUGCGGAUUAAUUCGAUGCAACGCGAAAACCUUACCAAGGCUUGACUUCACCGGG